rnacentral:rRNA from 1 species
ACUAGCAGUAAGAGUUUGAUCCUGGCUCAGGACGAACGCUGGCGGCGUGCUUAACACAUGCAAGUGGUGCGACGAACCAGGGCUUGCCCUGGGGCAAAGCCGCGAACGGGUGAGUAACACGUGAGUAACCUGCCCCGAUGACCGGGACAACCCGAGGAAACUCGGGCUAAUACCGGAUGUGGCGCACAGGCGUAAGCCUGUUCGCCAAAGGAAGCUUCGGCCUCCGCAUUGGGAGGGGCUCGCGGCCCAUUAGCUUGUUGAUGGGGUAACGGCCUACCAAGGCAACGAUGGGUAGCGGGUCUGAGAGGACGACCAGCCACACUGGGACUGAGACACGGCCCAGACUCCUACGGGAGGCAGCAGUGGGGAAUCUUGGACAAUGGGCGCAAGCCUGAUCCAGCCAUGCCGCGUGGAUGAUGAAGGCCCUAGGGUUGUAAAAUCCUUUCGUCAGGGACGAUAAUGACGGUACCUGAAGAAGAAGCCCCGGCUAACUUCGUGCCAGCCGCCGCGGUAAUAC